GGAAUAGAGACGGAUGGAGCUUAUUUUUGUUAGUUUGUUCUUUUCCACUAUUUUGAAGAGACUGAGAUUCAAUGUGCUGCUGUAGGUCCAUUGUUCCUGAGUUGUGAUAAAAUACAACUGCCUCAAAUGAAACAUUUUCAUGAGAAAUUGAUGAAAACCAUGCAGCAGAUGAACCAAUAACAAAACCAGAUUAAUAGAAUACUGCAAGUAUUGGAGCCUCACUUGGAGUGUGUCUGCUCUGGGGAAUCAGAGCGCAGCAGCAUGGACCUCCAGUGUGUGCAGAAUGCAGCUCAAGCUCUCGUGGACAUGGAUGAACCCACUUGGACACCAGGGACCCUUCAUGAAAGACAAAUGAAGCUGCUCAUGAGACCCAUGCAGUAUAGCUGGUGUAUGCUUUUUCUUCAAUUCACAGUUUAUUUACAUUUCUUAUCCUCUAUCACAGUGCUUGUCUAAGUGCAUCAACAGUUCCCAUGAUGGUACAGUGGGAGGCAUAAUUCCCAUUUGUUUGAGUUGUAGAUUUCUUUUCAAAACACUUCAAACACGGGACAAUGAAAAAGAGCUACUACUUCCAGCACAUCACGAGGGAAUACAGAAGCAUCUAAUGGAAUAUUCAACACAGCAGUGUGAAUGCACAGUGGAUGUAUGCAGCUCUCAAAAUCCCUGGAAAACAGAUAAGCACAGUUCUGCUCUGGAGGAAUAUUAUAUGUGACUGGGGUGUCUCAGCAUGUGGGACCUCACCAGUGCUGUCCUGAAUGCGCUGAGGGCUCUGCAGCCACGGUAUUGCUGCAGUCUCCAGGACGUCAGGAAGGGUCAGAGCCCUCAUCACAUUGUCCUCACCUGAAUGAAACGGCUUUGCCAUUUCUCUGACACCCGAUGAAGAUCUGCCCCGAGGAUGGUUCCGGUGUGUACCAAGGAUGAGCAGUGGGGACCCAUGGACAUCUUUUCUUUACCAGGAGUGGAGUGGGUAUUCUGAAUCCAGGAGCCUGGUUAAUGGAGGGAGGCCAUUAACAGAGCUGGUAAAUGGGGCACGGAGCACCCUGAGCCUUUCCCAAGCAGGGAAAGAAAUGACUGCCAUUUCCCAGAGCAGGCACAAAGCUUUGCAGGCCUGCCAGAAGUGCCACCAACCCAGCAGGGAACGCCUCAGCAAAAGCAUUCAGCCAUGCGAGCCGGGCCUUGCCCCGGCGGGCAGCCGGGACAGGCAACGCCUACAGCGGCUGGAGCAGAGUGCCACAGACGAUGCACGAGCUGGAGCAGAGUGCCACAGACAAUGGUGCCAGCUCUGUCCCUGUCGCUGCCGCUGGCAGGUGGCAUCGGCUCCAUCGGGCAGGGACAGCACCGCGGGCUGCCGAGCCCCAGCCCGGCCUUUCGGGCCCUGGCAUUCCCCUGCCGGCCGCCCAGCCCCGCACCGGAGCAGCUCCUGCCUCAGAACCGCCACAUUCUGCAGAUUCCCGGUCUCCUGUGCCGCUGCAUGGCCGCACGCAGAAAUGCAGCUCUGCGGAGGAACCUCUGCGCUCUUUCCCAGUGCAGAUACCGUUGCAACAAAAUCUGUUCAUUCUUUAUCCCACUAUCUUCAUUGUGGAAGCUGA
rnacentral:lncRNA from 1 species